CUCGGGGACGGUGAAAUUCCGUACCGGCGGUAAAGCCCGCGAGCCUUCGGGUUGAUUCGGUGAAAUUCCGAAGCCGACAGUGUAAAGUCUGGAUGAAAGAGA
rnacentral:ncRNA from 1 species